CCUACGGGGGGCUGCAGUGGGGAAUCUUCCGCAAUGGGCGAAAGCCUGACGGAGCAACGCCGCGUGAUCGAAUGAAGGCCUUCGGGUUGUAAAGAUCUGUUGACAGGGACGAAUAAGCCAUGCGAAUAGUUUGGUGUAUGACGGUACCUGUUUAGAAAGCUCCGGCUAAGUACGUGCCACCAGCCGCGGUAAUACGUGGGGAGCAAGCGUUGUCCGGAAUUACUGGGCGUAAAGGGUGCGUAGGCGAAAGGGUAAGUCAGCGGUAAAAUGUCGGUGCCAAACACCGGCCUGCCGUUGAAACUGGUCUUCUUGAGUGAGCGAGAAGUAUGCGGAAUACGUGGUGUAGCGGUGAAAUGCAUAGAUAUCACGCAGAACUCCGAUUGCGAAGGCAGCAUACCGGCGCUCAACUGACGCUGAGGCACGAAAGCGUGGGGAUCGAACAGGAUUAGAUACCCCGGUAGUC
rnacentral:rRNA from 1 species